CGUUAAGUUGCAGGGUAUAGACCCGAAACCCGGUGAUCUAGCCAUGGGCAGGUUGAAGGUUGGGUAACACUAACUGGAGGACCGAACCGACUAAUGUUGAAAAAUUAGCGGAUGACCUGUGGCUGGGGGUGAAAGGCCAAUCAAACCGGGAGAUAGCUGGUUCUCCCCGAAAGCUAUUUAGGUAGUGCCUCGUGAAUUCAUCUCCGGGGGUAGAGCACUGUUUCGGCUAGGGGGCCAUCCCGGCUUACCAACCCGAUGCAAACUGCGAAUACCGGAGAAUGUUAUCACGGGAGACACACGGCGGGUGCUAACGUCCGUCGUGAAGAGGGAAACAACCCAGACCGCCAGCUAAGGUCCCAAAGUCAUGGUUAAGUGGGAAACGAUGUGGGAAGGCCCAGACAGCCAGGAUGUUGGCUUAGAAGCAGCCAUCAUUUAAAGAAAGCGUAAUAGCUCACUGGUCGAGUCGGCCUGCGCGGAAGAUGUAACGGGGCUAAACCAUGCACCGAAGCUGCGGCAGCGACGCUGAUGCGUUGUUGGGUAGGGGAGCGUUCUGUAAGCCUGCGAAGGUGUGUCGUGAGGCAUGCUGGAGGUAUCAGAAGUGCGAAUGCUGACAUAAGUAACGAUAAAGCGGGUGAAAAGCCCGCUCGCCGGAAGACCAAGGGUUCCUGUCCAACGUUAAUCGGGGCAGGGUGAGUCGACCCCUAAGGCGAGGCCGAAAGGCGUAGUCGAUGGGAAACGGGUUAAUAUUCCCGUACUUGGUGUUACUGCGAAGGGGGGACGGAGAAGGCUAUGUUGGCCGGGCGACGGUUGUCCCGGUUUAAGCGUGUAGGUGUGUGUUCCAGGUAAAUCCGGUUCACUUUAACACUGAGGCGUGAUGACGAGGCACUACGGUGCUGAAGCAACAAAUGCCCUGCUUCCAGGAAAAGCCUCUAAGCAUCAGGUAACAUCAAAUCGUACCCCAAACCGACACAGGUGGUCAGGUAGAGAAUACCAAGGCGCUUGAGAGAACUCGGGUGAAGGAACUAGGCAAAAUGGUGCCGUAACUUCGGGAGAAGGCACGCUGACACGUAGGUGAAGUGAUUUACUCACGGAGCUGAAGUCAGUCGAAGAUACCAGCUGGCUGCAACUGUUUAUUAAAAACACAGCACUGUGCAAACACGAAAGUGGACGUAUACGGUGUGACGCCUGCCCGGUGCCGGAAGGUUAAUUGAUGGGGUCAGCGCAAGCGAAGCUCCUGAUCGAAGCCCCGGUAAACGGCGGCCGUAACUAUAACGGUCCUAAGGUAGCGAAAUUCCUUGUCGGGUAAGUUCCGACCUGCACGAAUGGCGUAAUGAUGGCCAGGCUGUCUCCACCCGAGACUCAGUGAAAUUGAACUCGCUGUGAAGAUGCAGUGUACCCGCGGCAAGACGGAAAGACCCCGUGAACCUUUACUAUAGCUUGACACUGAACAUUGAGCCUUGAUGUGUAGGAUAGGUGGGAGGCUUUGAAGUGUGGACGCCAGUCUGCAUGGAGCCGGCCUUGAAAUACCACCCUUUAAUGUUUGAUGUUCUAACGUGGACCCGU
rnacentral:rRNA from 1 species